AUGGCCUCGUCGGGGCAGCGCGCGGUGGCUCUCGCGGCGCUCGUGGUCGUCGUUCUGGUCGCCCGAGCAGGCCCUGCUGGCGCGGCGCGGCAGAUGCCGGUGGAGAGGAGCGGGGACCGCGCGGCGUUCUCGGCCCUCUACCCGGCGGCGACGGUGGUGGCGGCGGAGAAGGUGGAGAUGCUCAUGGCGAGGCUGCGGGCAGGGCCCAGCAAGAGGGGCGCCGGCCACUAG
rnacentral:rRNA from 1 species